rnacentral:rRNA from 1 species
GACGAACGCUGGCGGCGUGCUUAACACAGAAUGAAGAAACGAGUGGCGAACGGGUGAGUAACGCGUAAUCAACAUGCCCUUCAGAGGGGGACAACAGUUGGAAACGAAUGCUAAUACCUAAUACUGUGAGAGAGAUUUGCGUCCCAUUAGAUAGUUGGAGAGGUAACGGCCCACGAAGGCGAUGAUGGGUAGCCGGCCUGGGAGGGGGAUUGGCCACAAGGGGACUGAGGCACCGCCCUUACGCCUACGGGAGGAAGCAGGUGGGAAUAUUGGACGAUGGACCAAAGUCUGAACCAGCAAUUCUGUGUGCACGAUGAAUUUUUCGGAAUGUAAAGUGCUUUCAGUUGGGAAGCGGUACCAACAGAAGAAGUGACGGCUAACUACGUGCCAGCCGCCGCGGUAAUAC